GCAGUCGAGCGGCAGCACAAGGGAGUUUACUCCUGAGGUGGCGAGCGGCGGACGGGUGAGUAAUGCCUAGGGAUCUGCCCAGUCGAGGGGGAUAACAGUUGGAAACGACUGCUAAUACCGCAUACGCCCUACGGGGGAAAGAGGGGGACCUUCGGGCCUCUCGCGAUUGGAUGAACCUAGGUGGGAUUAGCUAGUUGGUGAGGUAAUGGCUCACCAAGGCGACGAUCCCUAGCUGUUCUGAGAGGAUGAUCAGCCACACUGGGACUGAGACACGGCCCAGACUCCUACGGGAGGCAGCAGUGGGGAAUAUUGCACAAUGGGGGAAACCCUGAUGCAGCCAUGCCGCGUGUGUGAAGAAGGCCUUCGGGUUGUAAAGCACUUUCAGUAGGGAGGAAAGGGUGAGUCUUAAUACGGCUCAUCUGUGACGUUACCUACAGAAGAAGGACCGGCUAACUCCGUGCCAGCAGCCGCGGUAAUACGGAGGGUCCGAGCGUUAAUCGGAAUUACUGGGCGUAAAGCGUGCGCAGGCGGUUUGUUAAGCGAGAUGUGAAAGCCCUGGGCUCAACCUAGGAAUAGCAUUUCGAACUGGCGAACUAGAGUCUUGUAGAGGGGGGUAGAAUUCCAGGUGUAG
rnacentral:rRNA from 1 species